GACGAACGCUGGCGGCGUGCUUAACACAUGCAAGUCGAACGGAAAGGCCCUGCUUUUGUGGGGUGCUCGAGUGGCGAACGGGUGAGUAACACGUGAGUAACCUGCCCUUGACUUUGGGAUAACUUCAGGAAACUGGGGCUAAUACCGGAUAGGAGCUCCUGCUGCAUGGUGGGGGUUGGAAAGUUUCGGCGGUUGGGGAUGGACUCGCGGCUUAUCAGCUGGUUGGUGGGGUAGUGGCUUACCAAGGCUUUGACGGGUAGCCGGCCUGAGAGGGUGACCGGCCACAUUGGUCCUGAGAUACGGCCCAGACUCCUACGGGAGGCAGCAGUGGGGAAUAUUGCACAAUGGGCGGAAGCCUGAUGCAGCAACGCCGCGUUCGGGAUGACGGCCUUCGGGUUGUAAACCGCUUUCGCCUGUGACGAAGCGUGAGUGACGGUAAUGGGUAAAGAAGCACCGGCUAACUACGUG
rnacentral:rRNA from 1 species